rnacentral:lncRNA from 1 species
AAAUCCGGAGAAACUAAAAAUCCAAAGGAGUAAUACACUCACUAGGGAGACAAAGACUCUGGGGGAGUAAAGGGUGAAAAUGCGUGAGCAGGUCACGACUUGAGACUUGCUGAGAGACACGGAGAGAAUCCAUGAAAUGAAUCAAUGGAAGAACUCAAGCUGACUCGAAGAUGCAUGUAUUAGGGAAUAUGCCAAUACAUCCAAAAAUUAUCCGCGACGGAUACUUCGGAUAAAAAUC